CUACGGGAGGCAGCAGUGGGGAAUCUUGCGCAAUGGGGGAAACCUUGACGCAGCAACGCCGCGUGGGUGAUGAAGGCCUUCGGGUCGUAAAGCCCUGUCAGGUGGGAAGAAACAUGUCGGUGCUAAUAUCACCGAUGUUUGACGGUACCGCCGGAGGAAGCACCGGCUAACUCCGUGCCAGCAGCCGCGGUAAUACGGAGGGUGCAAGCGUUGUUCGGAAUUACUGGGCGUAAAGCGCGUGUAGGCGGUCGGGCAAGUCAGAUGUGAAAGCCUUCCGCUCAACGGAAGAAGUGCAUUUGAAACUACCCGGCUGGAGUACGGGAGAGGAGAGUGGAAUUCCCGGUGUAGAGGUGAAAUUCGUAGAUAUCGGGAGGAACACCAGUGGCGAAGGCGGCUCUCUGGUCCGAUACUGACGCUGAGACGCGAAAGCGUGGGGAGCAAACAGGAUUAGAUACCCUGGUAGUCCACGCCGUAAACGAUGGGCACUAGGUGUAGGAGGUAUUGACCCCUUCUGUGCCGAAGUUAACGCAUUAAGUGCCCCGCCUGGGGAGUACGGCCGCAAGGUUAAAACUCAAAGGAAUUGACG
rnacentral:rRNA from 1 species